rfam:Bacillus clausii KSM-K16 DNA, complete genome.
GCGGGUGUAGUUUAGUGGUAAAACCUCAGCCUUCCAAGCUGAUGAUGAGGGUUCGAUUCCCUUCACCCGCU